AAAUUGAAGAGUUUGAUCAUGGCUCAGAUUGAACGCUGGCGGCAGGCCUAACACAUGCAAGUCGAACGGUAACAGGAAGCAGCUUGCUGCUUCGCUGACGAGUGGCGGACGGGUGAGUAAUGUCUGGGAAACUGCCUGAUGGAGGGGGAUAACUACUGGAAACGGUAGCUAAUACCGCAUAACGUCGAAAGACCAAAGAGGGGGACCUUCGGGCCUCUUGCCAUCGGAUGUGCCCAGAUGGGAUUAGCUUGUUGGUGGGG
rnacentral:rRNA from 1 species